AGCUUUGGGCAGCAGCAGGGUCAUAGCCAAUGAGGUUUAUCCGAGGCACGAUUAUUGUUAAUUGAAAACUUUUCCCAAUACCCCGCCGUGAUGGCUUGAAAUACUCAGGCUUUCUGCCAUAGUUGAAUUUCUGGGAUUUUUAACUGGCCAUUCCGGCUUGUUAAGCUCUAAAA
ensembl:snRNA U4 U4 spliceosomal RNA